CGGGUAACGGGGAAUUAGGGUUCGAUUCCGGAGAGGGAGCCUGAGAAACGGCUACCACAUCCAAGGAAGGCAGCAGGCGCGCAAAUUACCCAAUCCCGACACGGGGAGGUAGUGACAAUAAAUAACAAUACGGGGCUCAUUUGGGUCUCGUAAUUGGAAUGAGUACAAUUUAAAUCUCUUAACGAGGAACAAUUGGAGGGCAAGUCUGGUGCCAGCAGCCGCGGUAAUUCCAGCUCCAAUAGCGUAUAUUAAAGUUGUUGCAGUUAAAAAGCUCGUAGUUGAACUUCGGGGUCUACCCAUUGGUCAGGCUUAAUUGUCUGUACUGGUGAGAUGGAUCUCUACCUUCUGAGAAACUUGAUGUCCUUUAUUGGGUGUCUUGCGGAUCCAGGACCUUUACCUUGAAAAAAUUAGAGUGUUUAAAGCAGGCAUUUUUGCUCGAAUACAUUAGCAUGGAAUAAUAGAAUAGGACGGCAUGGUUCUAUUUUGUUGGUUUCUAGGAUCACCGUAAUGAUUAAUAGGGAUAGUUGGGGGCAUUAGUAUUCAAUUGUCAGAGGUGAAAUUCUUGGAUUUAUUGAAGACUAACUACUGCGAAAGCAUUUGCCAAGGAUGUUUUCAUUAAUCAAGAACGAAAGUUAGGGGAUCGAAGACGAUCAGAUACCGUCGUAGUCUUAACCAUAAACUAUGCCGACUAGGAAUCAGACGAUGUUAAUUUUUUAAUGACUCGUUUGGCACCUUACGG
rnacentral:rRNA from 1 species